UUAAUAGGGUCGAUUUCAUGGGAAAUAACUUCACGUACAACAGCUCUGACUUUGAACAAAGGGAUGUGUACAACUCCAUCAGGGCCUAUUUGGACACAGGAUCUGGAGCCAGAUGCUACAAUGCCAGUGAUGCAGAGCUCAGCUCUACUGAUUGGUUUGCAAGUAAUCUGGGAAACUUUGUGUCAUUUCUGACUGUGGAUGAUCUGACAGCAUUUGUGUCCAGCAGUCAGAUGCAAGUGUUUGUAACUAAUGAAGCCAACCUUGAGCUCUUCAGCACUGCUUCAGUCUCAGAGGAAAUCAGAGACUACUAUUUAACACAGCUUUUUGUUUUCAACCCCAGCUUUGACUUACUCAGACUUCCAGGUCCUCUCCUGUGUAGUUCUGCCAUUCCCAGUUCAGCAUUUACGGCUGUUCCUGGAGAUAAAGUCAUUGAGGUUUUGAACAGACUAAACGACCUUCUGUAAUGGAACUCAAGAUCCUGAG
rnacentral:lncRNA from 1 species